rnacentral:rRNA from 1 species
UCCUACGGGAGGCAGCAGUGGGGAAUAUUGCACAAUGGGCGCAAGCCUGAUGCAGCCAUGCCGCGUGUAUGAAGAAGGCCUUCGGGUUGUAAAGUACUUUCAGCAGUGAGGAAGGGGAUGUCGUUAAUAGCGGCAUCUCUUGACGUUAGCUGCAGAAGAAGCACCGGCUAACUCCGUGCCAGCAGCCGCGGUAAU